rnacentral:rRNA from 1 species
UACGUAGGGCGCAAGCGUUGUCCGGAAUUAUUGGGCGUAAAGAGCGUGUAGGCGGCCUGAAAGGUCAGCUGUGAAAACUCGAGGCUCAACCUCGAGACGUCGGUUGAAACCGUCUGGCUAGAGUCCGGAAGAGGAGAGUGGAAUUCCUGGUGUAGCGGUGAAAUGCGCAGAUAUCAGGAGGAACACCGAUGGCGAAGGCAGUGUUCUGGGCCAGUACUGACGCUGAGGAGCGAAAGCGUGGGGAGCAAACAGG